rnacentral:rRNA from 1 species
CAUGCAAGUCGAACGAAGUAGCAAUACUUAGUGGCAGACGGGUGAGUAACAUGUAGGUAUCUGCCCUUUGGCCUGGAAUAACACGAGGAAACUUGUGCUAAUACCGGAUAAGUCUUUACGGAGAAAGCUUUAUGCACCAUUGGAUGAGCCUGCACUUGAUUAGUUUGUUGGUGGGGUAAUGGCCUACCAAGACUGUGAUCAAUAGCUGAUUUGAGAGGAUGAUCAGCCACAUUGGGACUGAGACACGGCCCAAACUCCUACGGGAGGCAGCAGUGGGGAAUCUUGCACAAUGGAGGAAACUCUGAUGCAGCGACGCCGCGUGAGUGAAGAAGGCCCUUGGGUUGUAAAGCUCUUUCGUCGGGGAAGAAAAUGACUGUACCCGAAUAAGAAGGUCCGGCUAACUUCGUGCCAGCAGCCGCGGUAAUACGAAGGGACCUAGCGUAGUUCGGAAUUACUGGGCUUAAAGAGUUCGUAGGUGGUUAAAAAAGUUGGUGGUGAAAUCCCGGAGCUUAACUCUGGAACUGCCAUCAAAACUUUUUAGCUAGAGUAUGAUAGAGGAAAGCAGAAUUUCUAGUGUAGAGGUGAAAUUCGUAGAUAUUA